rnacentral:rRNA from 1 species
AUUGAACGCUGGCGGCAUGCUUUACACAUGCAAGUCGAACGGCAGCGCGGGCUUCGGCCUGGCGGCGAGUGGCGAACGGGUGAGUAAUGCAUCGGAACGUGCCCAGUAGUGGGGGAUAGCCCGGCGAAAGCCGGAUUAAUACCGCAUACGACCUGAGGGUGAAAGCGGGGGACCGAAAGGCCUCGCGCUAUUGGAGCGGCCGAUGUCGGAUUAGCUAGUUGGUGGGGUAAAGGCUUACCAAGGCGACGAUCCGUAGCUGGUCUGAGAGGACGACCAGCCACACUGGAACUGGGACACGGCCCAGACUCCUACGGGAGGCAGCAGUGGGGAAUUUUGGACAAUGGGGGCAACCCUGAUCCAGCCAGGCCGCGUGCGGGAAGAAGGCCUUCGGGUUGUAAACCGCUUUUGUUCGGGAAGAAAUCCUCUGGGCUAAUACCCCGGGGGAUGACGGUACCGGAAGAAUAAGCACCGGCUAACUACGUG